ensembl:lncRNA
GGACUCUUGGGCUUUACUUGGCUCCCUCAGGAGGACCGCAAGGAAUCAGAGAGGGGACAGCGCAGAGUCAGAGGAGCAUUCUAAGCAGGCACCCCGACAAAGCGAAGAACUGAUGAUUCCUUUGGUAGGCUGUGAUUGCUACCGCUUUUCUGCCGCCCAGAAUGUUUUUCUCCCACCUCUCCUGAUAACACAUCAUGCUCCACCCCCAUGUCCAUGGUGAGAAACAAGUUUUCUUUGGAGCCAUCUUCACCAACUGCUGAGAGAAGAGAGAGCUGCUAAGAUGAAUAGAGGGAGAAAGAAGGAGCAGGAAGGAGGCAGGGGAGGAAAUCAAGUGGAGGGCUAGACUGCUUGAUUCAGUAUGGUCGCUCAUACAGAUGUGUACCCAGAAUAGUAAGGGCCUGCUUCUAUUCCUGUCUGAUUUGUUACCUCUUCCUCUUUCACAUCCAUCAUGUUCCCAGUCUUCCUAUGAUGGAUAAUUG